rnacentral:rRNA from 1 species
UACGUAGGGUGCAAGCGUUGUCCGGAAUUAUUGGGCGUAAAGAGCGUGUAGGCGGCCCGGUAAGUCCGCUGUGAAAGUCGGGGGCUCAACCCUCGAAUGCCGGUGGAUACUGUCGGGCUAGAGUGCGGAAGAGGCGAGUGGAAUUCCUGGUGUAGCGGUGAAAUGCGCAGAUAUCAGGAGGAACACCGAUUGCGAAGGCAGCUCGCUGGGACGUCACUGACGCUGAGACGCGAAAGCGUGGGGAGCAAACAGG